AGCGAACGCUGGCGGCAGGCUUAACACAUGCAAGUCGAGCGGGCAUCUUCGGAUGUCAGUGGCAGACGGGUGAGUAACACGUGGGAACGUACCCUUCGGUUCGGAAUAACUCAGGGAAACUUGAGCUAAUACCGGAUACGCCCUUUUGGGGAAAGGUUUACUGCCGAAGGAUCGGCCCGCGUCUGAUUAGCUUGUUGGUGGGGUAACGGCCUACCAAGGCGACGAUCAGUAGCUGGUCUGAGAGGAUGAUCAGCCACACUGGGACUGAGACACGGCCCAGACUCCUACGGGAGGCAGCAGUGGGGAAUAUUGGACAAUGGGCGCAAGCCUGAUCCAGCCAUGCCGCGUGAGUGAUGAAGGCCUUAGGGUUGUAAAGCUCUUUUGUCCGGGACGAUAAUGACGGUACCGGAAGAAUAAGCCCCGGCUAACUUCGUG
rnacentral:rRNA from 1 species